ensembl:lncRNA
CACUUCUGAGUAAAUACCUAAAAGAAUUGAAAAUAGGGACUCGAACAGAUAUUUGUACACCCAUGUUCAUAGCAAUGUUAUUUACAAUAGCUGAAAAGUGAAAGCAACCCAAGUGUGCGUUGACAGAUGAAUGGAUAAACAAAAUGUGGUCUAUACAUACAAUGGAAUAUUAUUCAGCCUUAACAAGGAAGGAAAUUCUGACAAUCCUACUAUAAGACAUUAUGCUAAGUGAUCUAAGCUUGUCAUGUGAGGACAAAUACUGUAUCAUUCUAUUUAUGAUGAUAAAUAAAUGGCAAGCAAUAGGAUAUAUUGGAGUAUAUGAGGAAGCCAUUUGGUGUAAAAUUCAGCCUGACCUUGUUUUUCCAAAAGGGCCCGAUGUGGCCAUUGAGUGUGCAUUGUAUAUCUACUUUAAGCAUUUACUAUGUCCCAAAGACAAGGACAAAUGCCCUUAAGAUAAAGAUGUAAAUUCCCCUAUGCUGGAAUUUCCUUAAGGAUAAGCAUCUCUCCCUAGACUAGGAAUUGAUUGCCGCGCUCACCUUGUGACCACCCAUCUCCAACAACAGACUUGCUACCUUCUAUGUCCAUCAAUUGCUGUGCCCACAAGGCAGUCUCGUGACUAUUGUAAAAGGGACAUUCCUAACAUACGUGAGUAUGCUCUUUGUCCCAAGACUGUAUAUAACCACUCUGCACACCCCACUUCUUUGGGCCCUUCCUUCCUUCCUCGGGGGAAGAAGGCCCCGGGCUAUUCUUCUGAUCUGACUCAUCAUAAACACAGCCCAAUUUUGAUUUAUAGAUUGGCUAUGGAUUAUUUGUGUUGACAGUGAGGUACCUAGAAUAGCCAUAUUCAUAGAGACAGAAAGAGAAGCGUGGUUGCCAGCGGCUGAGGGGAGGUGGGAGUGGGAAGUUAGUGUUAAAUUGGUACUGAGUUUCACUUUGGGAAGAUGGAAAAAUUUCAGGAGGCAGAUGGUGGUGAUGAUUGUACAACUGCAAGUAUAGUUAAUGCCAUAGAACUGUACAUUUAAAAACGGUUAAAAUGGUAAACUUUAUGUUAUAUAUAUUUUAACACAAUAAAAUUUUUAAAGAUAGAUGGAUGUAUAGGGGUCUUUUUGUAUAUGUAGAUGUACGGGAUUUUGUUUUUGCUCUUGAUUGCUUACUUUUACUAAAAGAAUUAUACUACACACAUAUUCCUCAUGUAACUAACCCCAAACCUUAAUGGUAUAAAGCAACCAUUUAAUUAUGCUUAGAAUUAGGGAUUCUGCGGAUCAGAAAUUUGACCUAGGCACAGAAGGGACAAUUGUCUCUUCUCCAUGGUGUCUGGGCUCCCCUGGGAAGACUCAGAGGCUGGAAAUGGCUCAACGGCUGAGAGCAGGAAUCAUCUGGAGGCUUCCUCACUUACACAUCUGGCAGUUGGUUUUGGGUCCUCACUUGGGUUGUCAACCAGAACAUCUACAUUUGGGCUUUCCACCUGGGCUGUGCCUUUGAACUUCCUCACAGCAUGGCAGCUGAAUUCAAGGAGUGGAGUCCCAAGAGGGCAGAGCAGAAGUAUAUGGCAUGUUUACAAUCUAGCCGCAAAAGUCACAUUGCAUCCUUCUGCUAUGCUCAGUUGGUUGAGGCUGUUACAAAAAUCUGUCCAGGUUCAAGGGGAAGAGCUCAAAGGGAGGAGUGUUAAGAUCCUUUGUAAGAGGAGCAUCUGGGAGGGGCGAUGUUGGUGGCCAUCUUUGGAAAAUACAGUCUGCCACAACACAUUCAUUAGUUUGUGACUUGCUUUUACAAUAUUUCAUUGAGAUCCCUAAAAAGUCGGUAAAGAUGUAGUUCAAUUUUUCUCAUUUCUUUAUAAUUACAAAUCAUUUUAAAAUCCCAAAGUAAUAUAAAUACCGUAAGAAAACUUGGGAAAACAUAAAAGAAAAAUCUAUUCACAAUCCCCCUCCUUCAACCAAUCACAGGAAUUCUUUUUAGACUUUUUACUCCAUAAUUUCCUCAUAAUGUAUAUAAAGUUUUGUGUUUGUUUUUAUUUCAUCUUUGCAUAUGAGCCCCCAAAUUCACAUCUCAACACGAUCUUCUUUAUUUUUCUUGUAUGGACAAAACAAAAAUAAGAGUAGGGUUCAUCAAAGGAUAAAGUCCUCAGAUCAAAACUUUGGCUUAGCUUGUCCUACCUAAAACUCACUAGGGAAGAUCACGUCAAGGCUUUCAGGUCCUCCAUCUUCUUUCUCUAAUGAACAGGAAGCAGAAUUAGGACACACUGGAUCUGGAAAAGUAACGUCAGCAGUGAGUCGUGCCUACUGCACAGUUGUGUAAGGAGCAGGCAGGUGACUGACCUGGGUGUGGAAUGCCAGCAAGUGAACUUUCAUUCACUUUUCUGCUUGGCUUUAGGGUUUCAACAAAAUACGUGGAUCUAGCAUAUUAAAGAUCAGCAAAGCCUAUGUCUUCCAAACGCCACUCUGAACAUUACUGGUUUUCACUGGCCUGCUGUGAAAUGAGAAAAAUAAUGACAAUGUGGACAAAAUGCCAAGCCACCAGAAAAAGCUAAGCUUUUUUCUGCUUCACUGAUGCAAGAAGCAUUUUCGGGACAUCUACUCUGUGCCUGACAUUGUGCUGGGUGUUGGAGAGACAAAGAUGGAUAAAUACGACUCGGUCCUUGCGCUUGCUGGGUCCACUGUUUCCAGGACACCAUCAAGCCAUAAACAGAACAUCAUAAUGCAAUGUGGUGACCACAGAAACACCAUCACACAGCCAUUUUAUAUAGGGCUUUGUGGGAGCAAAAUGGCAGCCCUGGCUGAGCUGACACUUUAAAUGAAAUUUAAAGGAUGACUACAAUUUAGCCAAAUGAGAGCAUGAAGGACACGCCAGUCAGAGGAGACAACAUAAGCUCAGGUCCGGGGGUGGGAAAUGGCAUUGAUGUGGAUCAAGGCUGCCCCAGGGAGAGAAGCCCAAGGCGUCCCAGCCUACAUGCCGAUUUAUAUCAUCCUCCAGGAAACAUAGGAUAUCCUGACCUGAUCCAACCUGACUCAUAUCCAGAGUUAUACGACCACUCGAUAACCAGACCCCACCUGCAUUGAUACCAUGUUAACAACUUUUUUACAUGAUCUUUCCUUUGUCUUGUAAAGAAGUAACUCACAUACCUCUGCUUUAUAAAUUUAGCCCUACCCUCAACCCAUUGCAGCUCUUCACUGCCCAUGGGUCCUGUCCCCAUGCUAUUCUCUGAAUAAAAA